rnacentral:rRNA from 1 species
UACGUAGGGGGCGAGCGUUGUCCGAAGUUACUGGGCGUAAAGGGCGCGUAGGCGGAUAGUUUAGUGAGAGGUGAAAGCCCAGGGCUCAACCUUGGAACUGCCUUUCAUACUGGCUAUCUUGAGUACGGGAGAGGUGAGUGGAACUCCGAGUGUAGAGGUGAAAUUCGUAGAUAUUCGGAAGAACACCAGUGGCGAAGGCGACUCACUGGCCCGUUACUGACGCUGAGGCGCGAAAGCGUGGGGAGCAAACAGG